rnacentral:rRNA from 1 species
UUGAUCCUGGCUCAGGACGAACGCUGGCGGCGUGCCUAACACAUGCAAGUCGAGCGAUGAAGUUUCCUUCGGGAAACGGAUUAGCGGCGGACGGGUGAGUAACACGUGGGUAACCUGCCUCAUAGAGGGGAAUAGCCUUCCGAAAGGAAGAUUAAUACCGCAUAACAUUGCAGUUUCGCAUGAAACAGCAAUUAAAGGAGCAAUCCGCUAUGAGAUGGACCCGCGGCGCAUUAGCUAGUUGGUAAGGUAAUGGCUUACCAAGGCGACGAUGCGUAGCCGACCUGAGAGGGUGAUCGGCCACAUUGGGACUGAGACACGGCCCAGACUCCUACGGGAGGCAGCAGUGGGGAAUAUUGCCCAAUGGGGGAAACCCUGAUGCAGCAACGCCGCGUGAGUGAUGACGGUCUUCGGAUUGUAAAGCUCUGUCUUUGGGGACGCAUAAUGACGGUACCCAAGGAGGAAGCCACGGCUAA